AUGUGGAGGUGCUCACCUGAGGUUCUCCCGGAUUCUGCUGGCAUCCAGUUGACCCACGACAGCCUUCAGCAGUUCCUGAUCCAGGUCCUGGGAGGCACUGACUGGGCCAGUCGAGUCAGGCUGGUCAGCCUUCCUGGGAAUGGCGAAGUGUCCCAGGAUGAUGCCCAAACUGAAGAGGGCAGCGAGCCCCACCAAGCUCAGGAUCACUUUCCACCACUGCAUGGGACAUUGCCCUGCUCAAGAACUUUCCAGGGAAGAAGGGAGGGAAUAAGAAGGAUUAAGAGCCUACUGUGUGCCAAGCGCUUUCCAGCUAUUAUCUUAUUUGAUCCUCACAACAGCCCUGUGAGAUGGGGAAACCGAGGCCCAGAGAGAGGAAGUGAUUCUCCCACCCCCACACAGGUAGGGUCAGAAGUGGGCCGACUCUUUCUGCUGCCAAGGGGAGCCCCCAAAUCCCAGGAGCUGGGGGCAGAGGCUCGGAGGCACUUCAUUCUUUAG
rnacentral:lncRNA from 1 species